rnacentral:rRNA from 1 species
CGGGACACGUGGUAUCCUGUCUGAAUAUGGGGGGACCAUCCUCCAAGGCUAAAUACUCCUGACUGACCGAUAGUGAACCAGUACCGUGAGGGAAAGGCGAAAAGAACCCCGGCGAGGGGAGUGAAAAAGAACCUGAAACCGUGUACGUACAAGCAGUGGGAGCACGCUUAGGCGUGUGACUGCGUACCUUUUGUAUAAUGGGUCAGCGACUUAUAUUCUGUAGCAAGGUUAACCGAAUAGGGGAGCCGAAGGGAAACCGAGUCUUAACUGGGCGUUAAGUUGCAGGGUAUAGACCCGAAACCCGGUGAUCUAGCCAUGGGCAGGUUGAAGGUUGGGUAACACUAACUGGAGGACCGAACCGACUAAUGUUGAAAAAUUAGCGGAUGACUUGUGGCUGGGGGUGAAAGGCCAAUCAAACCGGGAGAUAGCUGGUUCUCCCCGAAAGCUAUUUAGGUAGCGCCUCGUGAAUUCAUCUCCGGGGGUAGAGCACUGUUUCGGCAAGGGGGUCAUCCCGACUUACCAACCCGAUGCAAACUGCGAAUACCGGAGAAUGUUAUCACGGGAGACACACGGCGGGUGCUAACGUCCGUCGUGAAGAGGGAAACAACCCAGACCGCCAGCUAAGGUCCCAAAGUCAUGGUUAAGUGGGAAACGAUGUGGGAAGGCCCAGACAGCCAGGAUGUUGGCUUAGAAGCAGCCAUCAUUUAAAGAAAGCGUAAUAGCUCACUGGUCGAGUCGGCCUGCGCGGAAGAUGUAACGGGGCUAAACCAUGCACCGAAGCUGCGGCAGCGACGCUGAUGCGUUGUUGGGUAGGGGAGCGUUCUGUAAGCCUGCGAAGGUGUGCUGUGAGGCAUGCUGGAGGUAUCAGAAGUGCGAAUGCUGACAUAAGUAACGAUAAAGCGGGUGAAAAGCCCGCUCGCCGGAAGACCAAGGGUUCCUGUCCAACGUUAAUCGGGGCAGGGUGAGUCGACCCCUAAGGCGAGGCCGAAAGGCGUAGUCGAUGGGAAACAGGUUAAUAUUCCUGUACUUGGUGUUACUGCGAAGGGGGGACGGAGAAGGCUAUGUUGGCCGGGCGACGGUUGUCCCGGUUUAAGCGUGUAGGCUGGUUUUCCAGGCAAAUCCGGAAAAUCAAGGCUGAGGCGUGAUGACGAGGCACUACGGUGCUGAAGCAACAAAUGCCCUGCUUCCAGGAAAAGCCUCUAAGCAUCAGGUAACAUCAAAUCGUACCCCAAACCGACACAGGUGGUCAGGUAGAGAAUACCAAGGCGCUUGAGAGAACUCGGGUGAAGGAACUAGGCAAAAUGGUGCCGUAACUUCGGGAGAAGGCACGCUGAUAUGUAGGUGAAGUCCCUCGCGGAUGGAGCUGAAAUCAGUCGAAGAUACCAGCUGGCUGCAACUGUUUAUUAAAAACACAGCACUGUGCAAACACGAAAGUGGACGUAUACGGUGUGACGCCUGCCCGGUGCCGGAAGGUUAAUUGAUGGGGUUAGCGCAAGCGAAGCUCUUGAUCGAAGCCCCGGUAAACGGCGGCCGUAACUAUAACGGUCCUAAGGUAGCGAAAUUCCUUGUCGGGUAAGUUCCGACCUGCACGAAUGGCGUAAUGAUGGCCAGGCUGUCUCCACCCGAGACUCAGUGAAAUUGAACUCGCUGUGAAGAUGCAGUGUACCCGCGGCAAGACGGAAAGACCCCGUGAACCUUUACUAUAGCUUGACACUGAACAUUGAGCCUUGAUGUGUAGGAUAGGUGGGAGGCUUUGAAGUGUGGACGCCAGUCUGCAUGGAGCCGACCUUGAAAUACCACCCUUUAAUGUUUGAUGUUCUAACGUGGACCCGUAAUCCGGGUUGCGGACAGUGUCUGGUGGGUAGUUUGACUGGGGCGGUCUCCUCCUAAAGAGUAACGGAGGAGCACGAAGGUUGGCUAAUCCUGGUCGGACAUCAGGAGGUUAGUGCAAUGGCAUAAGCCAGCUUGACUGCGAGCGUGACGGCGCGAGCAGGUGCGAAAGCAGGUCAUAGUGAUCCGGUGGUUCUGAAUGGAAGGGCCAUCGCUCAACGGAUAAAAGGUACUCCGGGGAUAACAGGCUGAUACCGCCCAAGAGUUCAUAUCGACGGCGGUGUUUGGCACCUCGAUGUCGGCUCAUCACAUCCUGGGGCUGAAGUAGGUCCCAAGGGUAUGGCUGUUCGCCAUUUAAAGUGGUACGCGAGCUGGGUUUAGAACGUCGUGAGACAGUUCGGUCCCUA